rnacentral:rRNA from 1 species
UACGUAGGGGGCUAGCGUUGUCCGGAUUUAUUGGGCGUAAAGAGCGUGUAGGCGGCCAGGUAGGUCUGCUGUGAAAACUCGAGGCUCAACCUCGAGAUGUCGGCGGAAACCAUCUGGCUAGAGUCCGGAAGAGGAGAGUGGAAUUCCUGGUGUAGCGGUGAAAUGCGCAGAUAUCAGGAGGAACACCAAUGGCGAAGGCAGCACUCUGGGACGUGACUGACGCUGAGACGCGAAAAGCGUGGAGAGCAAACAGG